AGGGCCAUGGCUCAGUGCUAGAGCAUCUUCUUUCAAUACGUGAGCGUCCAGGUUCGAUCCCUGCUGUUUCCA